UGCGUUACGAAAUGUGCGCAUGGCAGCCAGGGGCUGGAACCGGGUCCAGGCGAUAACCGAAUUUUAUCGGCGCGUCGUAUGUGUUUGGAGCUGAUAUCUUGAUUACGGGCCACGUCGUUAUUAGCUCAAGAUGGCAGUUAGCUCGGAUUUAGGGUGUAGUACACUACAACAAUAGCAGCUCUCAUCCCAGAUGGAAUUCAUUAAUGCUUCCUGGAUAUCCUAUCUUAGAUGAGGCAACCACUAAGUUUGAGGAGAAUAUUUCAACAAGCUCAAGAGAGAUAUCAGAGAGUGGAUCAGGCACAACACACUAAUCUAGAGCACCUCAACCAGCUCGAGCUCAACCUGAGUCAAGUGUUUCCCCUGCUACUGCUAGCCGAUCCGUGUUUAGAUUCUGAAGGAGAUGAUGGUGAUGAGGUGAAGUAACUUGUGCAUCUUGUAGUCGCUUUGUGCCUUAUUGAAUGAAACUUUUAUCAACCGUGGCUCAGAUUGAUUGACAAACAUGUAUGGUAUUUGAUAUGCGACUAAUUGUAAGGGUAUGACAAGCAUGUGGUAGGAAUUGACAAUGGGCCAUGAUUUUUGUCAAGAAUAAAUUGGUCUAUCAUUUCAAGUUCGGUCAUGGCAAUUCAGGAUAUGUUGAUGAGAAAGAACUCAUGAAAACAAUCUUUUUCAAGCAUAAAACAAUGAUGCAAGUAAAAAUGGUUUCGUAAUGUAUGCUUAUUACGGAUUCAAUGAAGGAUGUGAUUUGAGGAUGGAGUGAAGAUAGCAAGUAAAAUGGCUCUGCUAAGCGUAGGCAAAGGGCAAGUCAAGUGACGGCGGGAGCGCUGAAGUACCAUGGCUAAAGUAAAGAGUCAGGGUAGUACUUAAGCUACGAGGAGUUGUAUCUUGAGGAGAAUCAAAUCUUUGUUGGAUUAUAUGAGUUGACUUGUUGUAUUAAUUCACAUGUGUUGAAGCAUUGCUCAAAAUGACAAAGACAAGCUAGUUGUAAUUCUUAUAAAGCUGAAUGAGAAGAAACAACAUAUGUGAAGGCUCGAAGCUCAAGCAAUUUAAAUUUA